CAGCCGCCGCGGGAAUACGAAGGGUGCAAGCGUUAAUCGGAAUUACUGGGCGUAAAGGGUGCGUAGGCGGUUUGUUAAGUCUGUCGUGAAAUCCCCGGGCUCAACCUGGGAAUGGCGAUGGAUACUGGCAAGCUAGAGUGUGUCAGAGGAUGGUGGAAUUUCCGGUGUAGCGGUGAAAUGCGUAGAGAUCGGAAGGAACAUCAGUGGCGAAGGCGGCCAUCUGGGACAACACUGGCGCUGAAGCACGAAAGCGUGGGGAGCAAACAGGAUUAGAUACCCCCGUAGUCCCUGUCUCUUAUAC
rnacentral:rRNA from 1 species